rnacentral:lncRNA from 1 species
AAUAAUAUAGGUUAGCAGUUCAUUCAGAAUCUUCUGCUGAAAGUCACAAAUCUAGAAGCUGCAUGUUGUUUCAGAGUCAGCUCAUAUGUUCCUUAACUAAGUCCAAAGAUUCAAGCAGUAGACAUGACCAGAACCAAUGGCCUGUGAUUUGUUUCUUUCAUUCGCUGUGUAGCCAGAAGGGUCUGCGCCAGUAUCUUGGAUGAGACGAAUGUUUGCUCCACAGAGGAGAUGACGAGGGCUGUGUAGAUAUACAGAUGUAUUCAUAUAUAUCAUUCUUCAGUCCCCGACGUUGGUUCUUAAUGGAACCUGAUUUUCUCACUUCCUUUAGAAGGUCCAUGAUAUUCAGUGGACCACUUGCUCUAGGAGGUCCCUUGCAAGUAAAAUCCUGCUUAAAAUCUGGUUUCUUCAGGACUUCACCACUAUUUUGUUAAAUUUCUCAAUCGUAUACUGCCCCAGGGGCUUGAUUUUCUCCAGAUAAUGGCUCUAUCAUGCUUAUAGCCUGAUUCUGUCAGCAUGUGUCAUUGGCAAAAUAGCUUUGACUGCCAAAGCUUUCUGACC